rnacentral:rRNA from 1 species
AUGACAUGCCUGCUCGUGCCGGCUGUCGCAUGCGCUGCCCCCGCCCCCGCCGGACAUAAAACCACCGGCCACGGUCGCCCGCAGCCCAAGAUAAGGGUGACGCGUGGCGUGAGAAGCAAGGUGUCUGCUGCCAGGGCCGGAAUGGACGGAGGUACGUCGGCGCCGCCGCCUGAGCCGGCCAUCGCGCCGGACGCCGUCAUCAACCUCGAGCUCGGCGACCCGACCAUGUACGAGGCGUUCUGGAGGGAGGUCGGGGAGCGGGCGGCGGUGGCGAUCCCGGGGUGGUCGGGGAUGAGCUACUUCUCCAAUGCCCAGAGCCUCUGCUGGUUCCUCGACCCGGAGUUCGAGCGCGAGGUCCGCCGCGUCCACCGCCUCGUCGGCAACGCCGCCGUCGACGACGGCUACCACCUCGUGGUCGGCACCGGCGCCACCCAGCUCUUCCAGGCGGCCAUGUACGCCCUGUCUCCCGCCGGCGCCCAAUGGCCCGUCGGCGUCGUCUCGCCGGCGCCCUACUACUCGUCGUACCCGCCGCAGACGGACCUGCUGCUCUCGGGGUUCUACCGGUGGGCCGGCGACGCCAACGCGUUCGACGGCGACGGCCACAUCGAGCUGGUCUGCUCGCCCAACAACCCGGACGGCGCCAUCCGCGAGGCCGUCCUGAGCUCCGAGUCCGGCAAGGCGAUCCACGACCUGGUCACUGGCCACGCCGGCGCCAGGCUCGGGUGGGCGCUCGUCAAGGACCGCGACGUGGCCAAGAAGAUGGUCUACUUCGUGGACCGGAGCACCAUCGGCGUGUCCAAGGACUCGCAGCUCCGCGGCGCCAAGAUCCUCGCCGUCGUCUCCGACGCCUACGGACCCGACGAGGAGGACGACACGCGGCUCCGGCUCUUCGACUUCGCGCGCCGUCGCAUGGAGGAGCGCUGGCGGGCCCUGCGCGCCGCCGUGGCGGCCACCGGCGCCUUCAGCCUCCCGGAGGAGACCGCCGGCCACUGCAACUUCAGCAGGCAAACCGUGGCAGCUUACCCCGCGUUCGCGUGGCUGCGCUGCGAGAAGGAUGGCGUGGAGGACUGCGCCGAGUUCCUCCGCGGCCACGGCAUCGUGGCGCGGGGAGGGGAGCAGUUCGGGGGAGACGCCAGGUGCGUCAGGGUCAACAUGCUGGACAGGGACGGUGUGUUCGACGUGCUCAUAGACCGCCUCUUCUCCAUAACAUGA